UUGUAGUAAUCGGUUUGUAUGGUUAGUGUUGUGGUAGCUCUUAGGCCAUCUUACGAAUCUACGGCUGGCUGUGUCGGUGUAGCUGUGCUGUUAAAAGUACGUGGCGUGUGAAUUGAUGAAACCCUCCUUUUUUUCCUCUUCGCGAUAUUACUACUGGCGUCUCUCCCUCUUUUUUUUUUCUUUCUUUCUUUUCUUAUUUCUUUUUUAACGUGCUCAUUUUUAAAACCCGGCUGUAGGAGCAAACGGAAAAUGCAUCGAUUGACACAUUCUGGGGUUUGUACUUUGCUGCCUAUUUCCAAAAUGGUGCUCGGGGGUUCUUUUUAGCUGCUUGCUUGGUUCUUCUUCCCUUCUCAUUAUCGUCAUUUUUUUUCCAGGGUGUGUGUGUGUGUGUGAUGGAGUAGGAUUAUUUCCAUUUCCCCGGCUGCUGGAGAAAUUUAUGCUGUUUACCGUGUGCGCUUUUAUGUUAAUUUUCGGCUUUUGUUUCGGUGACUGCAUGUUUAGUUCGAAUAAUCGUUGUCGGAGUGAGCAUUCUGGACAAAAGCGAAUGGCGUAGCCAACAGUUACAAAAAUAUUAUUUAAUGUGCGGAAAGGAAAAUUUCACAGUAGCUGAAAGACUCUGCAAUUAAUUUGCAGACUCCCUGGUGGAUUUAGUAAUUUAUGAGGAUUUCGGCAUACUCUGAAAAAGAGCUUUGGUUUUGAAACACGGCUGGAAUGAAAAUGAAAAAUUGAAUUGCUCAAAAUUUAUUUAAAAUCGUCCUGCUAUGGUGAGACGAUAGAAUGUGAGAUCAUGCAGACGAUUACCUAGUCUUCUGUUUUCUUACAAGUGACUUGCACAUCCGGGAACUCACCGAUCUAGACCUUAACUUCAAAAGACUGGUGAUAUUUUAAUGCCAUGUAUAUCCAAAAAUCAUGAUAAUACACCAAAAAAAGUCUUAGCUCUCUGCUCUAGGGCUGGACCUAUAACAAGUAGGUCCUAAGACUGAAAACGAAAAAGUGGAAAGAGCCAGUGACGAGGCUACGUCUCAAUAACUGAUUCCGAGCACCAUCAACAAAAUCUAUAACUCUUCAAAAUACCAAACGCACUGAAUGGAGCCCAUGAACUUUAUUUACAAACUGCGAACUGAAAGACUGUGGACUGUCUCACUUGUAACAAAUAUUCUCACAUAACAAGAACCAUGCAUUCCAGUAUAUUAGCAAAUCCCCUUUGUAUUAUCUACUUACAUAAAUAUCAGAUGUGAAGACAAGACUACCUUCUACGGCCUGUUAAACAAUGC